rnacentral:rRNA from 1 species
CACGUAGGGCGCAAGCGUUGUCCGGAAUUAUUGGGCGUAAAGAGCUCGUGGGCGGUCUGUUACGUCUGCUGUGAAAACCCAGGGCUUAACCCUGGGCUUGCAGUGGAUACGGGCAGACUAGAGGCAGGUAGGGGAGAAUGGAGUUCCCGGUGUAGCGGUGAAAUGCGCAGAUAUCGGGAGGAACACCGGUGGCGAAGGCGGUUCUCUGGGCCUGACCUGACGCUGAGGAGCGAAAGCGUGGGGAGCGAACAGG